GCCCACGUAGCUCAGACGGCAGAGCGCUUCCUUGGUAAGGAAGAGGUCAUCAGUUCGAUUCUGAUCGUGGGCUCCA
rnacentral:tRNA from 1 species